UACGGGGGGGGCAAGCGUUGUUCGGAAUUACUGGGCGUAAAGGGCUCGUAGGUGGCCAACUAAGUCGGACGUGAAAUCCCUCAGCUUAACUGGGGAACUGCGUCCGAUACUGGAUGGCUUGAGUUUGGGAGAGGGAUGCGGAAUUCCAGGUGUAGCGGUGAAUGCGUAGAUAUCUGGAGGAACACCGGUGGCGAAGGCGGCUUCUGGGCCAAUACCGAGCGCUGAGGACGAAAGCGUAGGGGAGCAAACAGG
rnacentral:rRNA from 1 species